rnacentral:rRNA from 1 species
CCUACGGGAGGCAGCAGUGAGGAAUAUUGGACAAUGGGGGCAACCCUGAUCCAGCAACGCCGCGUGAGUGAUGAAGGCCUUCGGGUUGUAAAGCUCUGUUGAUGGGGAAGAAGGCAGUGACGGUACCCAUCGAGGAAGCACCGGCUAACUCCGUGCCAGCAGCCGCGGUAAUACGGAGGGUGCAAGCGUUGUUCGGAAUUACUGGGCGUAAAGGGGGCGUAGGCGGUUUGUUAAGUCAAAUGUGAAAGUCCACGGCUAAACUGUGGAAGUGCAUUUGAGACUGUCAGGCAAGAGUUUCGGAAGGGAAAGUGAAAUUCCUGGUGUAGGAGUGAAAUCCGUAGAUAUCAGGAGGAAUACCGGUGGCGAGGGCGAUUUUCUGGACGAAUACUGACGCUGAGGCCCGAAAGCGGGGGGAGCAAACAGGAUUAGAUCCCCCAGUAGU